rnacentral:lncRNA from 1 species
GCAGGGCGCAGAGUGUGUCAGUCAGUCAGUGUGGCUCGCGCCGUGAUAGGAAGAGGUUGGCUGUUCGAACUUCUCAGUGCCGGCCGGUUUCAGCGUGGUUGGUGGUGGCUAUGAAGUGACAUCUUUGGAGAUCUGUCCCUGUUCUAAGAUCUUCUGGAUCUAAGCAAAUAUUGAUACUACUCCCUUCGGCAUUUUGUUGCGUUCUUAGAUUGGAGCCAUAAUUUGUAAAUACCAUAUGAUAGGCCUCGAUUUGAUAUAGUUUAUCGCUUUCCGUCUUUUUCAUCAAAAGACCUGCACAAUGUCCUACUAAGAAGACACAGAUUUCUUCAGUGGCGAGGAUUAUCAAAAGGGCAGUGGAAGGUUGAUGUAUUGACGUCAUGGGUGAAGGAAGAUGGGGGGGAGUGCGGGUCUCCUUCACCUCCCUCCUCCUCCUCCUCCUCGUCCUCCUCCUCCUCCACACUGCUGCUGUCUCCGCUCAACGGCCAGAGGAAGGGCGCUUCUUCCGGUCGCUCUUCUCCCUGCCGGACCAGUGCGUUCAUAAUGGAAUUCCAGCCUCGUGCACGUUCGUCCUCUCCUGCCUGCUUCGCGGAGGUAAGUCCAUG